rnacentral:rRNA from 1 species
GAUGAACGCUGGCGGCGUGCCUAAUACAUGCAAGUCGAGCGAACGGACGAGAAGCUUGCUUCUCUGAUGUUAGCGGCGGACGGGUGAGUAACACGUGGAUAACCUACCUAUAAGACUGGGAUAACUUCGGGAAACCGGAGCUAAUACCGGACAAUAUUUUGAACCGCAUGGUUCAAAAGUGAAAGACGGUCUUGCUGUCACUUAUAGAUGGAUCCGCGCUGCAUUAGCUAGUUGGUAAGGUAACGGCUUACCAAGGCAACGAUGCAUAGCCGACCUGAGAGGGUGAUCGGCCACACUGGAACUGAGACACGGUCCAGACUCCUACGGGAGGCAGCAGUAGGGAAUCUUCCGCAAUGGGCGAAAGCCUGACGGAGCAACGCCGCGUGAGUGAUGAAGGUCUUCGGAUCGUAAAACUCUGUUAUUGCGGAAGAACAUAUGUGUAAGUAACUGUGCACAUCUUGACGGUACCUAAUCAGAAAGCCACGGCUAACUACGUG